AGCGGCCUUGGUAUAGCGGGUAUUAUAUCUGGCUUCCACCCAGAAGAUAGGAGUUCAAUUCUCCUAGGUCGCUCCAA
rnacentral:tRNA from 1 species